CCCGGACCGGGGUGGGCGGCUCGGCUUCCGCUGGGACCGGGGUGGGCGGUUCGGCUUCGGCCACCGCCGAUCCUGCGGCGGUUCAGGC
rnacentral:tRNA from 1 species